AUCCGAAUGUGAAGGUGUUCAUCACUCAUGGUGGAUUAUUGAGUACAACAGAAACUAUCUACCAUGGCGUGCCCAUUCUCGCUCUACCCAUUUUUGGAGACCAGAAAAUGAAUGCAGCACAUGCAGUUGCAGGAGGAUUUGCGUUAUCGCUGUCAAUAUCCAAGAUUACUGAAGACGAUAUCUCUGAUGCAUUAAAUCAACUCUUAAAUGAUCCCAAGUACAGGGAAAAUGCCAAAAAGAGAUCAGCUUUGAUGCAUGACCGUCAAGUGAAACCCAUGGAUCUUGCGAUUUACUGGAUAGAAUACGUUAUCCGAAACAAAGGAGCACCGCAUCUGAGGGUGGCUGCCCUGAACUUAACGUGGUAUCAAUAUUUAUUGCUAGAUAUUAUUUCAGUAGUUCUGAUCAUUGGUAUCAUUUUGAUGUUUGUUUCGUAUUUAUUGAUGAAAAAGUUAUGUUUGUCAAGAAAAAGUGACAUGAAAAUCAAAAGUAAUUGAGAGUUAGAUGUGAACAUCCUGAAGGUAGUUCCUUAUGAUACCUAAUCACCUCACUAUUUUGAAUAAAGAAGUAUUUCGUGUAUUCAACAGGAAUCUCCUUAUCAGUGAUUCAGAAAAUGUUAAAAGGAAUGUUAAUGAAUAAAAGAGAAUUGGAACUUUCUAUAAGGACUAAUGUAAUGAACCAUCGUUAGUUUAUUGUAUAAGUUUGAAAAUGUCCUUAGGAUGAAACUGCAGUAACGUUAGUUACAAAUAAAAGUGGUUAAUAACAUAGAAAGUUCAUAUUCUCUUUUCUUCGUUAUGAUUCCCUACUACGUAGUAAGAGCUGCAUCCAUCAAUUUUUUCUUCUAAGGAAUGUUAAAUAAAAUUUUGAAAGCAAAACA